CUUCGGGUUGUAAAGCACUUUUGUCCGGAAAGAAAACGNUCUGGUUAAUACCUGGGGCGGAUGACGGUACCGGAAGAAUAAGCACCGGCUAACUACGUGCCAGCAGCCGCGGUAAUACGUAGGGUGCGAGCGUUAAUCGGAAUUACUGGGCGUAAAGCGUGCGCAGGCGGUUUUGUAAGACAGGCGUGAAAUCCCCGAGCUCAACUUGGGAAUUGCGCUUGUGACUGCAAGGCUAGAGUAUGUCAGAGGGGGGUAGAAUUCCACGUGUAGCAGUGAAAUGCGUANAGAUGUGGAGGAAUACCGAUGGCGAAGGCAGCCCCCUGGGACGUCACUGACGCUCAUGCACGAAAGCGUGGGGAGCAAACAGGAUUAGAUACCCUGGUAGUCCACGCCCUAAACGAUGUCAACUAGUUGUUGGGGAUUCAUUUCUUCAGUAACGUAGCUAACGCGUGAAGUUGACCGCCUGGGGAGUACGGUCGCA
rnacentral:rRNA from 1 species